UAGGAUCUGCCUGGUAGUGGGGGGACAACGUUUCGAAAGGAACGCUAAUACCGCAUACGUCCUACGGGAGAAAGCAGGGGACCUUCGGGCCUUGCGCUAUCAGAUGAGCCUAGGUCGGAUUAGCUAGUAGGUGAGGUAAUGGCUCACCUAGGCGACGAUCCGUAACUGGUCUGAGAGGAUGAUCAGUCACACUGGAACUGAGACACGGUCCAGACUCCUACGGGAGGCAGCAGUGGGGAAUUUUGGACAAUGGGGGCAACCUGAUCCAGCAAUGCCGCGUGAGUGAAGAAGGCCUUCGGGUUGUAAAGCUCUUUUGUCAGGGAAGAAACGGUGAGGGCUAAUAUCCUUUGCUAAUGACGGUACCUGAAGAAUAAGCACCGGCUAACUACGUG
rnacentral:rRNA from 1 species